rnacentral:tRNA from 1 species
AAGAAAGUGGCAGAGCGGUUAUGCGAUUGGCUUGAAACCAACUAACAGGGGUUCAAUUCCCUUCUUUCUCG